rnacentral:lncRNA from 1 species
CAUUUCCUCCCCAGGGUCCUACGAAUACAGUCAGAUUCUUAUCACCUUGUUGUUGUUGAUCCAUGACGCCGUCGUGCUGCAAAUAAUCUGGUACCAUCUAAGGAGAAGAUUCUUAUGACCUUGUUGUUAUUAAUUGACCGCUUACUUUUGUAAACACGAUGCAAGGGAAGAUGCUAAGUAACCAAAGUUUUACAAUAAGUGGAAACCAAAGUUUUACAAUAAGAGGAAGCUGCUAAUAAUCUGGUACCAUCUACGAAGAGCUAAACUCUUUUUUCUUUUUUGCUGCAGAAGAAGCUUUUUGGAAUUGAAACAGGUUGGGGAUUGAUUCAGAAAAAUAAUUGAGUGUUUAGCUUAUGAAGCAAUGCAUAUAUAAAAAGAUGUCAAGCUUCAUGGCCCAUGAAUCAUGGGAAGGUAUU